rnacentral:rRNA from 1 species
UACCAGCACCCCGAGUGGUCGGGACGAUUAUUGGGCCUAAAGCAUCCGUAGCCGGUUCUACAAGUCUUCCGUUAAAUCCACCUGCUUAACAGAUGGGCUGCGGAGGAUACUAUAGAGCUAGGAGGCGGGAGAGGCAAGCGGUACUUAGUGGGUAGGGGUAAAAUCCGUUGAUCCAUUGAAGACCACCAGUGGCGAAGGCGGCUUGCCAGAACGCACUCGACGGUGAGGGAUGGAAAGCUGGGGGAGCAAACCGG